GGAGGGGGUCACUGACUUGGAAAAGAGUUUUAAAAGCGUCCAGCAGGGGAGAUCAAUGUCACCUGUACCCAGCUGUAUAUCCAUGAAGAGUGAUAAUUCAAUGGAGUUUAUAAUCAAUCUUAAACAUGGACAGAUUUCUGAGGGUCAAACCGUCCAGCAGGAGAGAUCAGUGUCACCUGUACCCAGUACCACAUCCAUGAAAAGUUCCAACUCAAUGUCUCAUAG